GGCCUGGUGGCCUAAUGGCUAAGGCAUCGCUUUCCGGUGUUGGAAUUGGCGAAGAUUGCGGGUUCGAGUCCCGUCUGGGUCG